rnacentral:tRNA from 1 species
GAGGAUAUAGUUUAAGGGAGUAAAACAGAUACCUGUAUCAGUUACAAGUUCGAAACUUGUUGUCCUCGCCA